rnacentral:rRNA from 1 species
UACGUAGGGGGCAAGCGUUGUUCGGAAUUACUGGGCGUAAAGGGCUUGUAGGUGGCCAACUAAGUCCGACGUGAAAUCCCUAGGCUUAACCUAGGAACUGCGUCGGAUACUGGAUGGCUUGAAUCCGGGAGAGGGAUGCGGAAUUCCAGGUGUAGCGGUGAAAUGCGUAGAUAUCUGGAGGAACACCGGUGGCGAAGGCGGCAUCCUGGACCGGUAUUGACACUGAAAAGCGAAAGCCAGGGGAGCAAAUGGG